rnacentral:tmRNA from 5 species
GGGGGCGAUCGGGUUCGACGUGAAGAAUCGAGGAGCGUGAAUAGCGAGCGGAGGUCCCACAUGCCUCCUUAAACCGUGGACCAAACAUAAAUGCCGAGCCUGAGCUCGCACUCGCUGCCUAAUUAGCGGCGUGUCCCUCGGAAGAAGUUGGCGCUUCCGCUGUGGGCAUCACCUCAGCCGACUACCCGAAGUCUGGUCAGCUCGAGCCGGACCAGGGGAAAUCAAAUCGACCUAACCGAUGCGGACCCUGUCUGCGGGGGACGUUCAGGUGAAACCUAAAACGCAGACUGCGCUCGGAGAAGUUGCGCUUCCGUCUUUGCGGACGCGGGUUCGAUUCCCGCCGCCUCCACCA